UAUUGACAGGGUUUCACUAUGUUUGUCAGGCUAGUCGUGAACUCCUGACCUUGUGAUCCGCCAGGCCUCCCAAAGUGCUGGGAUUACAGACAUGAGCCACCACACCCGGCCAAAAUGGGGAAGGCAGUUACCAACCCCUGUGGACAGGAAUCGCUUUUGAAGGUAGGGCUGAGGUGAUCAUCAACCAAGUUGUAAAGAUCAAAACUGACCAGCCUGCCGGAGACUACCUAACCCUGUUCCUGUUUCUGCCGUAUCAAGUGAGGACUUUCUGUUCCCUCUGGCGAUGCUACUCUGUGUGACUCAUGAUUCCACGUAGGCUUGAAGGAAUGGUCUUUAUUCAGUGCCUGUUAGGUGUGAAGCAAGGUAUUAGAAAUUGUAUAUACAUUAUCACAUUGAUGUAUCACAAUCAUCUGCUGGAGGUGGUAUUAUCCCUAAUUUUUAGACAAAAAAAGUGAGAUUCUGAGAGGGAAAGUGUAGUCUCCAAGCUCACACGUGUAGCAGUUCAGAGAAUUCAAACCCAGAUCUCUGUUUUUGAACUCCUUGACCUUGUCUUUAUAAUGUCAUUGCCUCAAAUUUUGUAUCCACCCAAGCUAAAUGGAAGGAAGAAUUUAGUACCUUAGACUUGGUAUAUUGUUUUUCAGGGGAAAUAAGUAUAAGAAAUAGGAUUUCGUUUGGCAUGGAGUAUUUCAUUCAUAUAUGAGAUUUUUAGUGGGAACCCACUUGGUGCUAGACGUUGUUUGUAGGCAUUGGUGAGCCAUAUCUCUGUGCAAGACAGGCGUAGUCCUUGCUCUCAGGGAAUAAUAAAUUAUGCCAUAGCUGUGUAAACCCA